GACGAACGCUGGCGGCGUGCUUAACACAUGCAAGUCGAACGGAAAGGCCCUGCGUUUGUGGGGUGCUCGAGUGGCGAACGGGUGAGUAACACGUGAGUAACCUGCCCUUGUCUUUGGGAUAACUUCAGGAAACUGGGGCUAAUACCGGAUAGGAGCUCCUGCUGCAUGGUGGGGGUUGGAAAGUUUCGGCUGUUGGGGAUGGACUCGCGGCUUAUCAGCUUGUUGGUGGGGUAGUGGCUUACCAAGGCUUUGACGGGUAGCCGGCCUGAGAGGGUGACCGGCCACAUUGGGACUGAGAUACGGCCCAGACUCCUACGGGAGGCAGCAGUGGGGAAUAUUGCACAAUGGGCGGAAGCCUGAUGCAGCAACGCCGCGUGCGGGAUGACGGCCUUCGGGUUGUAAACCGCUUUCGCCUGUGACGAAGCGUGAGUGACGGUAAUGGGUAAAGAAGCACCGGCUAACUACGUG
rnacentral:rRNA from 1 species